CCUACGGGUGGCAGCAGUGAGGAAUAUUGGUCAAUGGCCGUAAGGCUGAACCAGCCAAGUCGCGUGAAGGAAGAAGGAUCUAUGGUUUGUAAACUUCUUUUAUAGGGGAAUAAAGGUAUCCACGUGUGGAUAUUUGCAUGUACCCUAUGAAUAAGCAUCGGCUAACUCCGUGCCAGCAGCCGCGGUAAUACGGAGGAUGCGAGCGUUAUCCGGAUUUAUUGGGUUUAAAGGGUGCGUAGGUGGUUAAUUAAGUCAGCGGUGAAAGUUUGUGGCUCAACCAUAAAAUUGCCGUUGAAACUGGUUGACUUGAGUAUAUUUGAGGUAGGCGGAAUGCGUGGUGUAGCGGUGAAAUGCAUAGAUAUCACGCAGAACUCCGAUUGCGAAGGCAGCUUACUAAACUGCCACUGACAUUGAUGCUCGAAAGUGUGGGUAUCAAACAGGAUUAGAUACCCGUGUAGUC
rnacentral:rRNA from 1 species